AAGUUAUUAACCAAGGCUUCUCAUAUAUAUUUAAACUCUCAAACUAUUCUUUAGAAAAAACACUUACCUUAAUACUAGUAGAUUCAUUCGAAAUACAGAAAAGACCGUUAAAAAAGUACCGAAAGGGAAUGUUGAAAUAAAAUUUUAACCCCAACUAAACAAAGGAAAGAUUACCCCUUUUACCUCGUGUAUAAUGGAUUGACGAGAAGACAGAUAAAAUUUUCUUCUCCCGAAACUAGGCGAGCUAACCUUAACUUCUCUUUAGGAGAAGAUUCCCCCUGUUGCAAUAGUGGGUAAAAAGUUAAGGUUAGAUGUUAUAUGCUAAUCGCGCCUAGCGAUAGCUGGUUUCUCGGGAAAUUAGUUUAAGUUAAGCCUUCUUCUUAAACCUAAAUAUACUUAAUUUUAUAAAUUGUAUCUUUAAUUUAACUAAGAUAGGUUAGGAUAAUAGGGACAAGCUUGUUAUCCAACUUGGAAACCCCCAUUUUAUUUAGCUAAAGUCAACAAUUAUUUGAAAUAGUUUUAACCUUACCAGUAGGCCUAGAAGCAGCCACCUCCAAAGAAAGCGUUAAAGCUCCCCUACUAGAUUCUAGACUAUAAAAUUUUUGGCUAUCCCCUCUGAUGCUAUCUAAGAUUACCGAGACCUUUUUUAAUAAAAGAGAUUAUGUUAAUAUGAGUAAGGCUUGUUUCAUUUGAGACUUAUACGAUCUUAACUUUGGAGGAAAAACAAUUUAACUAAAAACUAAGUUUUUACUACCGUCUUCCAACUCAGGAGAAACAGCUCAGAAGAAGAGAUAAGAAGGAACUCGGCAAAUAUAGAUUUCGCCUGUUUACCAAAAACAUCGCUCUCUGGAUAAAAUUAAUAUAGAGAGUCCUGCCUGCCCAGUGACUAGAAGUUAAACGGCCGCGGUAUCUUGACCGUGCGAAGGUAGCAUAAUCAUUUGUCUCCUAAAUAGAGACUAGUAUGAAUGGCAAGACGGAAUUUUACUGUCUCCUUAUCUUCCUCCCGAAUUUCACAUUUUCGUGAAGAGGCGAGAAUAUUUUCGUUAGACGAGAAGACCCUGUCGAGCUGCAGCAAGGUUCAGUGCUUUUUUCAUUUCUCCUACCUUACUAAUUUAUUUUGUUAGGAAUAGUAGAAACUUAAAGACUCUAACUAGCUUUGGUUGGGGCAACCACGGAGAAAGAGAAUCCUCCGUUAUCUAUAGUUUACAGACUUAAAAUUAGAGACACCCCUCUAAAAUUACACAAGUAAGAGUAUGAUCCACUACGGUGAUCAAAGGAAAAAGUUACCGCAGGGAUAACAGCGUUAUCUUCUCUAAGAGUCCAUAUUGACGAGAAGGUUUGCGACCUCGAUGUUGGAUCGGGACAUCCUAAGGGUGCAGAAGCUUUUAAGGGUUGGUCUGUUCGACCAUUAAAGUCCUACGUGAUCUGAGUUCAGACCGGCGAGAGCCAGGUCAGUUUCUAUCUACGUUUAUUCCUUUCUUAGUACGAAAGGACCAGAAAGGAGGUGCCAAUGCAGAAAAUGUAAGCACUAAUUUUAAUUAAAAAC
rnacentral:rRNA from 1 species